AAUAAGUAGAAAAUGUAAAAUCUUGUAAAGCUUUCUUUCUUGUCUAAAGGCUUUGAAGUUUUCCUGUACUCCCUGUAGACUGAAGGAAGAGCAUUCCUAAUUCUGACCAGGAGUGUUUGUGUCCUUCCUGUUUACAAACUAGGUUGUAUCCUGGACAGUAAAAUGGACCCUAUUGAGCAGGUCGGGGUACACCACACAGAAAUCACUGGCAUCUGUAAGGGUUGUAAGAAGAACAUCCAUGAGGUCCAGGUGGGGAAAAGAACUCUAGAUUCACUAAUCUUGACCACCGUCACCUGAAUUAGCAAGGACUUAUACAGGUGGGUUUUACUGCACUUUUGUCUCUUUACCAGCAGAUGUCUAAUUGGAAUCAAUAAAAGUGGAAGCCAGGGUGUGAUUUGUGUCCUUUGGGGCAAUGCUCUUGCUGCUUUGGUUAUGUGAGUCCAUUAUUCUGGGGUCAGGGUGUGUGGGUGGGGAGUGUGAUUCUGUUAUACAUUCUGUAGAACUUGAUCUAUAAAUUUUCUCAAGUAAAAAAGCUCAAACUCAUAGCACUUUGGCCAAGUUGAUGGACAACAGACCUGUGUCCUGACUGAGCCCAAAUGUAAGUUCUUUCUGAGAAAAGAUGAGCUUAUCCUUGCCAGAGAACUGAGAUGAAGCCACCCAGCAGAGGGAGUUUCUCCAACAGGAGGUCUGUUGAGUAGCUUCUUGGUACCUGUGAUUGAAAUGGAUCCCUUUUUCUAAAGAACUGCAAAUUAUCACCCUCUAGAGGAUGAGCAUCAGCGGCCCCAGGAGCUGAGAUGGGAACCUCAUUUUGAGAAGCUGAACUGUAGAGUCCUAGGAGAUGAAUGGUUCUCUAACCUACGGAUUGUGGUUGAUCUGCGGCCAAGACAGAGUGUGGUGACUCCCAUGGCACAACAUGCUCAUGGCAAGCUGUGGGAGGGUACAGAAACCACACAGUGAUGGUGACUCCUUCUUUUGGAGCCAUGGACAGGACAGCAGGAGACUGGGUCAGCACAAUCUCACCAUGAGAGGCUGAAACCACACAGGAAACACUGGCAGAGCCUCAUGAUAUGUACAUGGAAGUCACCAGUAUCUCGUUAGGUGGGACAUAGGAUACUACUUAUUUUUAAAAUAUGCUAAAUUCAUCUAUGGAAGGAUUCCCAAUGAAGAAAUAAAAUCAGGCAUGAAAAUCAUACCCCCACUUUAAUCUGCCUUGUGUAAAUAUUCUCACCUGGAACCCAGAGGAG